rnacentral:rRNA from 1 species
GGAAAGAUGAAAAGAACUUUGAAAAGAGAGUUAAACAGUACGUGAAAUUGUUGAAAGGGAAACGAUUGAAGUCAGUCAUACCAACGGGAAAUCAACCUUUUGAGUUUGGUCUUGUGGGUUUCGGAGAGUUUAAAAGCCUUCGGAUUCGUUAGGAUUGGGCUCUUUUGGUGUACUUUCUCGUACGGUUAGUCAUCAUCGGUUUUGAAUGUCAUAAAAUGACUGGAGGAAUGUGGCUUCGAUCUCGUAUCGAAGUGUUAUAGCCUUUGGUAGACGUGAUGUUCGAGUCCGAGGAUUGCAACGGAUACCCUUCUGGGCUAUUCGUCUGAUCUCUGAUACGUUGCCUUGAUGUCGAAAGCUUGCUUAUGAUGUUAGGGUAUUACGGUCAAAAGGUUAGAACGGAUUAAAUUCGUUAAGGAUGUUGACGUAAUGACUUUAAACGACCCGUCUUGAAACACGGACCA